CCUACGGGAGGCAGCAGUGAGGAAUAUUGGUCAAUGGGCGCGAGCCUGAACCAGCCAAGUAGCGUGAAGGAUGACUGCCCUACGGGUUGUAAACUUCUUUUAUAAAGGAAUAAAGUGAGGCACGUGUGCCUUUUUGUAUGUACUUUAUGAAUAAGGAUCGGCUAACUCCGUGCCAGCAGCCGCGGUAAUACGGAGGCUCCGAGCGUUAUCCGGAUUUAUUGGGUUUAAAGGGAGCGUAGAUGGGUUGUUAAGUCAGUUGUGAAAGUUUGCGGCUCAACCGCGCCCCGCAGUUGAAACGGGACGCCGUGAGUUCACAACAGGCAGGCGGAAUUCGUGGUGUAGCGGUGAAAUGCAUAGAUAUCACGAGGAACCCCGAUUGCGAAGGCAGCCUGCCGGGGUGCGACUGACGCUGAGGCUCGAAGGUGCGGGUAUCAAACAGGAUGAGAUACCCCUGUAGUC
rnacentral:rRNA from 1 species